GGAGAGUUGCCAGAGCGGUUGAAUGGGGCGGUCUCGAAAACCGUUGUUUUCGCACAGAGAACCCAGGGUUCGAAUCCCUGACUCUCCGCCA
rnacentral:tRNA from 1 species